rnacentral:rRNA from 1 species
CCUACGGGUGGCAGCAGUGGGGAAUAUUGGGCAAUGGGCGCAAGCCUGACCCAGCAACGCCGCGUGGAGGAAGAAGGCUUUCGGGUUGUAAACUUCUUUUGUUAGGGACGAAGCAAGUGACGGUACCUGACGAAUAAGCCACGGCUAACUACGUGCCAGCAGCCGCGGUAAUACGUAGGUGGCAAGCGUUAUUCGUAUUUACUGGGGGUAAAGGGAGCGUAGACGGCGUGGUAAGCCUGAAGUGGAAGCCCGCGGCCCAACCGCGGAACUGCAUUGGGAACUGUUUGGCUAGAGUAGGGGAGGGGGAAGCGGAAUGCCUGGUGUAGCGGUGAAAUGCGUAGAUAUCAGGAGGAACACUCGUGGCGAAGGCGGCUUACUGGACCAUAACUGACGUUGAGGCUCGAAAGCGUGGGGAGCGAACAGGAUUAGAUACCCGUGUAGUC